UACAGGAUGGACCCGCGUCUGAUUAGCUAGUUGGUAAGGUAACGGCUUACCAAGGCGACGAUCAGUAGCCGACCUGAGAGGGUGAUCGGCCACAUUGGAACUGAGACACGGUCCAAACUCCUACGGGAGGCAGCAGUGGGGAAUAUUGCACAAUGGGCGAAAGCCUGAUGCAGCAACGCCGCGUGAGCGAUGAAGGCCUUCGGGUCGUAAAGCUCUGUCCUCAAGGAAGAUAAUGACGGUACUGAGGAGAAGCCC
rnacentral:rRNA from 1 species